AUCACUUCUCAACCUUUUGACUAAGUUCAAGUGUAAUAUCUAUCUUUAUCAGUUUAAUAUCUGAGAUCUCCUUUAUCUGAGGACAAUAUAUUUAAUGGAUUUUUGGAACAGAGCGAAGGAAUAGGAGCUUGUUCUCUCCAUUCCAUGCAUUGACCUGGUAUUGCAGGACCUCCAGAAACACCAUCCCCUCC
ensembl:snRNA U2 U2 spliceosomal RNA